GUAAGUGUAUAAAAGUCCCAGGUUGUAAAUUGCACAGGUUUGGUGUUGGAAAAUGGAAACUGGUUGUAUCCCAUUGUUUUCAACCAGAUUUCUCCACCCAAAGAAAACAGAACCAAAUGCCAAUAACCAUCUCUGCUACAACCUCAGCAUGCUUGUUGUGCGGCAGAUGUUUGCCAGCGCGCUCCACAGGAGCUGUUUAGAAAUUUGCUGUGCAGUAAGGGAAAACGAGUCAAACAGUCCCAGGUGGGAGAGUCUCCAAAUGUCAGGAUCAUGCCAUCCUGCAGCUCAGUGCUGAUUCAUCUGAAACCUCUACAGCAUGUCCGUUGCCGACACAAAACAGGAGGUGACAUCACCACUCUGUCCACCACAGCACUCAUCAAAGCACCAUCUGAUCUAAGUCUAUUAGUCUAUUACCCUCACACAUGGGUCUCAACCCUGCAAGGUGAGAUCUACUCACUGCAAACAGCUCUGAAGCUAUUGCUCUGCACUUUUUUUUAUCUCUUAUAAAAUAGAGAAUGUUAUAUAUAACAUACUAAAAGCCAUAAAUCACAUAAUUUGUGCAAAAAUGUGAAAGAUUUUGUAGAGUAACUAUAAAUAUACAUUUAAAUUUUUGUCUUGUAAUACACACAAAAAUAAAAUUAUAAAAUUCUAUAAUAUUCAUUGACCCUUUCAUAAACGAAUGUCCUAUAAUGUUUAUAUAAUUGGCUUGGCUUGGACAUGCGAUGUCAAAAACAGACAAAUUAAAUGGCAAUACAAUGUCUACAAAUGUAGGCUUCUUCUCAAUGUUAAUUAAAUUGCUUCUCAAUGUUUAUUAAAUAGUUGUUGUAUAAUAACAA